rnacentral:rRNA from 1 species
AUUGAACGCUGGCGGAAUGCUUUACACAUGCAAGUCGAACGGCAGCACGGACUUCGGUCUGGUGGCGAGUGGCGAACGGGUGAGUAAUGUAUCGGAACGUGCCCAGUCGUGGGGGAUAACGUAGUGAAAAUUACGCUAAUACCGCAUACGAUCUAUGGAUGAAAGCGGGGUUCGCAAGACCUCGCGCGAUUGGAGCGGCCGAUAUCAGAUUAGGUAGUUGGUGGGGUAAAGGCCCACCAAGCCAACGAUCUGUAGCUGGUCUGAAAGGACGACCAGCCACACUGGAACUGAGACACGGUCCAGACUCCUACGGGAGGCAGCAGUGGGGAAUGUUGGACAAUGGGCGAAAGCCUGAUCCAGCCAUUCCGCGUGCAGGAUGAAGGCCCUCGGGUUGUAAACUGCUUUUGUACAGAACGAAAAGGUUUCUACUAAUACUAGGAGCUCAUGACGGUACUGUAAGAAUAAGCACCGGCUAACUACGUGCCAGCCGCCGCCGUAA